GCCCCCCGGCCCGGGAUAGCCCAGGGAAACCUGGAUUAAUACCGGAUGAGACGGGACCCGCGAUGGCGGGAUCCGGGAAGGCGCUGCGGCGCCGCCGGGGAUGAGUCUGCGUCCCAUUAGCUGGACGGCGGGGUAACGGCCCACCGUGGCGACGAUGGGUAGCCGGCCUGAGAGGGUGGACGGCCACAUUGGAACUGAGACACGGUCCAGACUCCUACGGGAGGCAGCAGCUAAGAAUCUUCCGCAAUGGGCGAAAGCCUGACGGAGCGACGCCCGCGUGAACGAAGAAGGCCGUGAGGUUGUAAAGUUCUUUUCGGGAGGGGGAACAACCGUGGCAGGGAAUGGCCGCGGGAUGACGUGAAUCCCGGAAUAAGCCCCGGCUAACUACGUGCCAGCAGCAGC
rnacentral:rRNA from 1 species